UUUUCAUCCAUUGGUAGAGCAGCUACAGUUAUAUCAGCAUCAGUUUCUCUGUGUGCUUGAAUAAACCUUUCAUAAUCCAUCCGAUAUAAAUGAUCCCCUGCAAGAAUCAAGAAUUCCAGAACAUUGUGCUCCUCAAAUAACCACAAAUACUGUCUGACAGCAUCAGCUGUGCCCUGGAACCAAUUUGGGUUCUCUGGGCUCUGCUGAGCUGCAAGAACUUCAACAAAACCUUCAUUCUUGUAGCCACCCAUGUUGCUUGCAUAUGCCCGAGAAAGGUGACGAUUAAGAGAUGCAGAGUUGAAUUGCGUAAGAACAUAAAUCUUUGAUAUAUUACUGUUCAAGCAGUUGCUAACAGGAAUAUCAAUCAGCCUGUAAUUUGCUCCUAAAGGAACAGCAGGUUUUGCCCUCUUCUUGGUAAGUGGGUAAAGGCGGGUCCCAGCACCACCUCCAAGAAUAAUUCCCAAGACACUUCUGCUAGCGUCAGGGUCAAGACAAGUUUGCGAAUUCCUGGAAUCGGAAACAGCCUUAGGAGAAACGAUCGUAGGAGUCCUCUCAUUAUAAGCAAUUCCUCGGCGAGCAGAAAAAACCUUGGAAUAAAUCUUAUCACCAGAGAGGUCAGACGAUGAGAAGGAAAGGCUUCUCACAGGCG
rnacentral:misc_RNA from 1 species